CAAAAACAUUGCCUUUAUGUAAUAAUAUAUUAGGUAAGUCCUGCCCAGUGACAAUGUUCAACGGCCGCGGUAUCCUAACCGUGCAAAGGUAGCAUAAUCAUUUGCCUAUUAAUUGUAGGCUAGAAUGAAUGGAUAAACGAAAUAAAAACUGUCUCAAUUAGUCAUCUAAAAACUAUUCUCUAUAUGAAGAAAUAUAGAUAAAUUCGAAGGACAAGAAGACCCUAUAGAGCUUUAUUUAAUGCACAAAAUUAUACUGUGUAACAAUUCGGUUGGGGCGACCUAGGGAUUUAAUACCACCCUAAAUUACAUAGAUAAAUUAAUCUAAAUAAUGACCCUAUAAUAGAUCAUAAAAUCAAGCUACCUUAGGGAUAACAGGCUAAUCCUAUUCAAGAGUUCAUAUCCACAAUAGGGUUUGGCACCUCGAUGUUGGCUUAGGGUAUCAAUAUAGCGCAAAAGUUAUAAAUUGAUGGUUUGUUCAACCAAUGAUUCCCUACGUGAUCUGAGUUC
rnacentral:rRNA from 1 species